rnacentral:rRNA from 1 species
GACGAACGCUGGCGGCGUGCCUAAUACAUGCAAGUAGAACGCUGAAGCUUGGUGCUUGCACCGAGCGGAUGAGUUGCGAACGGGUGAGUAACGCGUAGGUAACCUGCCUGGUAGCGGGGGAUAACUAUUGGAAACGAUAGCUAAUACCGCAUAAGAGUAGAUGUUGCAUGACAUUUGCUUAAAAGGUGCAAUUGCAUCACUACCAGAUGGACCUGCGUUGUAUUAGCUAGUUGGUGAGGUAACGGCUCACCAAGGCAACGAUACAUAGCCGACCUGAGAGGGUGAUCGGCCACACUGGGACUGAGACACGGCCCAGACUCCUACGGGAGGAAGCAGUAGGGAAUCUUCGGCAAUGGACGGAAGUCUGACCGAGCAACGCCGCGUGAGUGAAGAAGGUUUUCGGAUCGUAAAGCUCUGUUGUAAGAGAAGAACGAGUGUGAGAGUGGAAAGUUCACACUGUGACGGUAUCUUACCAGAAAGGGACGGCUAACUACGUG